ACCGGGGACCUCAUAGAAUAGAACAAUCCGAACCAGGUCAGGACAGGAAUGUAGCAGCCUUAAGGAUAACGUUUUAUGCUUUGAGAUAAUCUCCGGCCUU
rnacentral:SRP_RNA from 1 species